rnacentral:rRNA from 1 species
AUUGAACGCUGGCGGCAGGCCUAACACAUGCAAGUCGAACGAGUGGCGGACGGGUGAGUAAUGUCUGGGAAACUGCCCGAUGGAGGGGGCUAACUACUGGAAACGGUAGCUAAUACCGCAUAACCUCGCAUGUGACCAGAUGGGAUUAGCUAGUAGGUGGGGUAACGGUUCACCUAGGAGACGGUCCCUAGCUGGUCUGAGCGAAUGGCCAGCCACACUGGAACUGAGACACGGUCCAGACUCCUACGGGAGGCAGCAGUGGGGAAUAUUGCACAAUGGGCGCAAGCCUGAUGCAGCCAUGCCGCGUGUAUGAAGAAGGCCUUCGGGUUGUAAAGUACUUUCAGCGAGGAGGCGUUACUCGCAGAAGAAGCACCGGCUAACUCCGUGCCAGCAGCCGCGGUAAUAC